GUCUCCGUAGCUCAGUCCGGCCAGCGCACCGGCCUUCGAAGCCGAGUGUCGCACGUUCGCAUCGUGCCGGAGACG
rnacentral:tRNA from 1 species